CAGCCUGACUCCCGGUUUGAGCUUCAGCAACUGCAGCCGCCUGGAGCUGGAGCGCAGCCUGCAGCGGGGGCUGGGCUGGUGCCUGUACGAUGCCCCCGACCCCCAGCGCCUGGCGGGGACCCCGGUCUGCGGGAACCGCUUCGUGGAGCAGGGAGAGAGCUGCGACUGCGGGCUCAGCCUGGAGUGCACCGAUCCCUGCUGCAACAGCAGCUCCUGCCAGCUGCUGCCAGGAGCAGAGUGCGCGACGGGGGACGCCUGCUGCCACCAGUGCCAGCUGCUCCGUGCAGGGCAGCCGUGCCGGGAGCCCAUGGACGAGUGCGACCUCCCCGAGUUCUGCGACGGGCGCUCCCGGCGCUGCCCACCCAACGCCUUCGUGCAGGAUGGGCAGCCCUGCGGCGGCGGGCGGGCGCGCUGCUACGGCGGGGCCUGCGUCACCUACGAGGGCCAGUGCCAGCGGCUGCUGGGGGCAGGUGCGCUAUGGGGGGGUUGGGGAGGGUC
rnacentral:lncRNA from 1 species